rnacentral:rRNA from 1 species
UACGAAGGGGGCGAGCGUUGUUCGGAAUUACUGGGCGUAAAGGGCGCGUAGGCGGCCGAUCAAGUCAGAUGUGAAAGUCCUGGGCUUAACCUGGGAACUGCAUUUGUGACUGCAUGGCUGGAGUGUGGCAGAGGGGGAUGGAAUUCCGCGUGUAGCAGUGAAAUGCGUAGAUAUGCGGAGGAACACCGAUGGCGAAGGCAGCCCCCUGGGCCAAUACUGACGCUCAUGCACGAAAGCGUGGGGAGCAAACAGG